rnacentral:rRNA from 1 species
UACGUAGGUGGCAAGCGUUGUCCGGAAUUACUGGGUGUAAAGCGCGUGUAGGCGGGAGGCCAAGUCUGCUGUGAAAUCGCCCGGCUCAACUGGGCGGGGUCGGUGGAAACUGGUCACCUGGAGGACGGUAGAGGCGAGUGGAAUUCCUGGUGUAGCGGUGAAAUGCGCAGAUAUCAGGAGGAACACCGGUGGCGAAAGCGGCUCUCUGGAACGGUACUGACGCUGAG